rnacentral:rRNA from 1 species
GUGGGGAAUCUUGCACAAUGGGCGACAGCCUGAUGCAGCAAUGCCGCGUGAGGGAAGACGGCCUUCGGGUUGUAAACCUCUUUCAGUUGGGAAGAAGGUUGGACGGUGAAUAGCCGGUUCGACUGACGGUACCUUCAGAAGAAGCCCCGGCUAACUACGUGCCAGCAGCCGCGGUAAUACGUAGGGGGCAAGCGUUGUCCGGAAUCAUUGGGCGUAAAGCGCGUGUAGGCGGUUUUGUAAGUCUGCUGUGAAAGUCGGAGGCUCAACCUUCGAAUGCCAGUGGAUACUGCAAGACUUGAGUACGGAAGAGGAGAGUGGAAUUCCUGGUGUAGCGGUGAAAUGCGCAGAUAUCAGGAGGAACACCAACGGCGAAGGCAGCUCUCUGGGACGUUACUGACGCUGAGACGCGAAAGCGUGGGGAGCAAACAGGAUUAGAAACCCCAGUAGUCC